rfam:Mesorhizobium sp. LNHC252B00 scaffold0010, whole genome shotgun sequence.
GCCCAAAGUCGCACGUGCCUGUGGGUGUCCGCCGAUCCUCGAAUGGUGAGGGAAAUCGGUAAGGUAACUGGAGCUAACCCCUCCAGUCGGUCUAGCGGCCAACCGCAAGCCCGAGGACACCUUGAAGCAACGACGGUGCGGGCCUUU